rnacentral:rRNA from 1 species
AUUAGACGAAUCAUCUGGAAAGAUGAAUCAAAGAAGGUAAUAAUCCUGUAGUCGAAAAUGUUGUCUCUCUUGAGUGGAUCCUGAGUACGACGGAGCACGUGAAAUUCCGUCGGAAUCUGGGAGGACCAUCUCCUAAGGCUAAAUACUCUCUAGUGACCGAUAGUGAACCAGUACCGUGAGGGAAAGGUGAAAAGCACCCCGGAAGGGGAGUGAAAUAGAACCUGAAACCGUGUGCUUACAAGUAGUCAGAGCCCGUUAAUGGGUGAUGGCGUGCCUUUUGUAGAAUGAACCGGCGAGUUACGAUUUGAUGCAAGGUUAAGCAGUAAAUGUGGAGCCGUAGCGAAAGCGAGUCUGAAUAGGGCGUUUAGUAUUUGGUCGUAGACCCGAAACCAGGUGAUCUACCCUUGGUCAGGUUGAAGUUCAGGUAACACUGAAUGGAGGACCGAACCGACUUACGUUGAAAAGUGAGCGGAUGAACUGAGGGUAGCGGAGAAAUUCCAAUCGAACCUGGAGAUAGCUGGUUCUCUCCGAAAUAGCUUUAGGGCUAGCCUCAAGUGAUGAUUAUUGGAGGUAGAGCACUGUUUGGACGAGGGGCCCCUCUCGGGUUACCGAAUUCAGACAAACUCCGAAUGCCAAUUAAUUUAACUUGGGAGUCAGAACAUGGGUGAUAAGGUCCGUGUUCGAAAGGGAAACAGCC